GGUAGAGUGGCCGAGUGGUUAAGGCGACAGAUUUAGGUUUAUGUAAGCAAGUUACGCAGACCUCUGUUGGGAAACCGCGCGAGUUCGAAUCUCGUCUCUAUCA